CCUGCCUCCAUGCCUGGCUAAUUUUGUAUUUUUAGUAGAGACAGGGUUUCUUCAUGUUGGUCAGGCUGGUCUCAAACUCCUAACCUCGUGAUCCGCCUGCCUCGACCUCCCAAAGUGCUGGUAUUACAGGCAUGAGCCACCAUGCCCAGCCAAAGAUCAUUUUUUUAUAUAGACUUCAGCCCUUUGUAAAUAUUGUAACUGGGGAGUAUAGAGUAGAAAAAAAGUAUAGUUAAAACAUUUGUUCUACAAAUUAACCUUUAAAAAUAUAAUUACUGCUAAAAAUAGAGUGCUGUUACACUUAAGGAAAAUUAGUGCCAUUUUGGAAAUGAGAUCUUGUGCCAUAAAUACAGCUGAACUGAAUAUAAAUGUUCACAAAUUAAUGCUGUCAAAGGAAUGAGUAAAGCAGAAAAACUUUUAACCAGCAACAUUUCAAGUACGUAGUGUGAUCAAACAUGAUCAUCCAGAAUUUGUAUAUUUUUUUCUUUGUACAGAGGUUACAUAUUCUGGGUGUUCUUUUAUAAAGGAAACAUUUUAAAUCCCACAAAUUGACACUUUCUAUCUUCAAUGGACUAAGAUUUUUUUGGUCAGUAAUCUCUGAAAUUUCCUUAAAUUAUAUACUUAACAUAGCAGAGAAACUGGAUUGUUUUUGUAUAUAAGACUGCUUCCACCUGAAAUGCUGUCAUAAGUACUGGGGGGGUGGGGGAGUGCCCAUCUUGUACAUGAUAUUCUUAGAGGUAAUAAGGUAAUGAUGCAUGAAUUUAUUUUAUAAACUCUUGGACUAUGUAUUUGACAUGUAAAAUAUGUACAGUAUUAACGUCAACCAUCUCUUUAAAGUUAGCCUAUAAAUAUUGUUGUAUAAUUUUCUUUGGUCAGAAACACUUGUACUGAAUAGUGACACUCGGUAAGGAUUUUCAGUGCCAUUUAGCAAAACGUCUUUAGUCUAUGCAACUAGCAAAAAUCUGCAUAAUGCAACAACACAGUUUUCACACUUCAAAUUUUACAUGAGGGGUUCUUCACGAUUCUCCUGGAACCCAGUCUAGCAAAAUGAGAGGAAAGGCCCUAGGGAGAUUUAUUUCUGUUAAGUAGUUAACUCUGCUGAGUAUGACAAAUAGUGUCUACUAUCUCAACCCUCCAAAAUUUGCAGAGUGUUGGGACUGUCAUUUGUGAUUUUUUUUUUUUUUUUUUGGUGGGGUAGUUGAAUAAAAUUGGGCAGCUAAAUUUUUCAGUUCCAUGUGCCUCCCAAAUAAAAAACAGAAAAUAAGUAGUUUUUGUGAAUUGACUUGCAGACAAAGUAGAAACUGUGCUGCAUGAUGUUAUUUUGUAAACAGAUGACAUUUUCUGACCAGGCACAUGCCAUCCAAUUUUCUGUCAAUCACACUGUUGUAUAAAGCAGCAGAACUGAAGGGGAAAAAUGAUUGUUGUAUACACUGAAUUGCUUUGCAUGGUCUCAUUUGAGA
rnacentral:lncRNA from 1 species